UGAAACUGCGAAUGGCUCAUUAAAUCAGAAAUUGUUUAUUUGAUAAUACCUUACUACUCGGAUAACUGUAGUAAUUCUAGAGCUAAUACGUGCUAAAAGUUUCAUCUCGAAAGGGGUGAAAUGUAUUUAUUAGAUAAAAAACCAAUGCAUGGGGUAACUCAUGGUCAUUGUUGAAUCAUAAAAACUUUGCGAAUCGCAUAGCUUUAAGCUGGCGAUGAAUCAUUCAAAUUUCUGCCCUAUCAACUUUCGAUGGUAGUGUAGUGGACUACCAUGGUCGUAACGGGUGACGGAGAAUUAGGGUUCGGUUCCGGAGAGGGAGCCUGAGAGACGGCUACCACUUCCAAGGAAGGCAGCAGGCGCGCAAAUUACCCAAUGGCAAUACGCCGAGGUAGUGACAAUAAAUAACA
rnacentral:rRNA from 1 species